UACGUAGGGGGCAAGCGUUAUCCGGAUUUACUGGGUGUAAAGGGAGCGUAGACGGCCAUGCAAGCCAGGGGUGAAAGCCCGGGGCCCAACCCCGGGACUGCCCUUGGAACUGCAUGGCUGGAGUGCGGGAGGGGCAGGCGGAAUUCCUGGUGUAGCGGUGAAAUGCGUAGAUAUUAGGAGGAACACCAGUGGCGAAGGCGGCCUGCUGGACUGCAACUGACGUUGAGGCUCGAAGGCGUGGGGAGCAAACAGG
rnacentral:rRNA from 1 species